GAAAUGCGAUACGUAAUGCGAAUUGCAGAAUUCAGUGAAUCAUCAAAUCUUUGAACGCAAAUUGCGCUUUUGGGAUAUGCCCGAAAGCACGCCUCUUUGAGUAUCGAUUAAACCAAACUCAGCACUUGUGCUGGAAAAUGAGUGUUUUUCUUCGCGCACUUUAGUGUGUGCGGAGUCACUUUAAAUUCAUGGAAGGCAAAUACGUCUUUGACGCUGUCAUAUUGCCCAACGCAAAACCUGGAUAAACUUCCAAUGUUUGAGUCGGACGAUUUUUGUAGCUCAGGGUCGUGCCUAUUCCCAACCAAUCAAAACUCUGUAUUUGAACUAGAUCUCAAAUGAAGCGAGAGGACCCGCUGAACUUAA
rnacentral:misc_RNA from 1 species